rnacentral:rRNA from 1 species
UAAUACGAAGGUGGCUAGCGUUGUUCGGAAUUAUUGGGCUUAAAGCGCACGCAGGCGGAAUGGAAAGUGUUUUGUGAAAACCCUCGGCUUAACCGAGGAAUUGCUUAGCAAACUACCAUUCUUGAGGCAAGUAGGGGUGCAUGGAACUCUUGGUGGAGCGGUGGAAUGCGUAGAUAUCAAGAGGAACGCCAACGGUGAAGACAGUGCACUGGGCUUGACCUGACGCUGAGGUGCGAAAGCGUGGGGAGCGAACGGGAUUAGAUACCCCGGUAGUCCACGCUGUAAACGAUGUCUACUAGGUUGCGGGAGUUCUGACACUAUCGCAGCCGAAGCAAAAGUGUUAAGUAGACCGCCUGGGGAGUACGGUCGCAAGGCUA